rnacentral:rRNA from 1 species
UAAGGAAUAUUGCUCAAUGGGAGAAAUCCUGAAGCAGCAACGCCGCGUGGAGGAUGAAGGGUCUAUGACUUGUAAACUCCUGUAAAGAAGGAAAAAAUUCCCAUUAGAUGGGAGAUGAUGGUACUUCUGGAGUAAGCCCCGGCUAACUACGUGCCAGCAGCCGCGGUAAUACGUAGGGGGCAAGCGUUGUCCGGAUUUACCGGGUGUAAAGGGUGCUCAGGCGGAUUUGUAAGUCAGAGGUGAAAUCUUACAGCUUAACUGUGAAACUGCCUUUGAUACUGCAAGCCUAGAGUAUGGAAGAGAGUGAUGGAAUAUCUGGUGUAGCAGUGAAAUGCGUAGAUAUCAGAUAGAACACCAAUGGCGAAGGCAGUCACUUGGUCCAUUACUGACGCUAAAGCACGAAAGCGUGGGUAGCAAACA